UGAAUCCACGCGGGAGAGUUCCCGGCCGCGCGCACCAUGUGCGGGGCGGGACGCCGAAGGAGCAAGUCCUCCCUUGAAUCUCUCAGGCACCCAUACCGCGCAGGACGA
rnacentral:ncRNA from 1 species